GUCGGGCGUGUUGGUGUGUGCCUGUAGUCCCAGCUACUUGGGAGGCUGAGGUGGGAGGAUCGCUUGAGCCCAGGAGUUCUGGGCUGUAGUGUGCUAUGCCACUCAGCUGUCCGCAGUAAGUUAGGCAUCAAUAUAGUGACCACCCGGGAGCGGGGACCACCAGGUUGCCUAAGAAGGGGUGAACCGGCCCAGGCUGGAAAUGGAGCAGGUCAGAAUUCCCAUGCUGAUCAGUAGUGGGAUCGCACCUGUCAGUAGCCACUGCACUCCAGCCUGGGCAACAUCUCAAGAUUCUGUCUCU
rnacentral:SRP_RNA from 1 species